GAUGAACGCUGGCGGCGUGCCUAAUACAUGCAAGUCGAGCGAGAUGUUAGCGCAUGAACCUUCGGGGGAUUAUGCUAACGGAAAGCGGCGGACGGGUGAGUAACGCGUAGGCAACCUGCCCCUGACAGAGGGAUAGCCAUUGGAAACGAUGAUUAAAACCUCAUGACACCGUAGAAACACAUGCUUCAUCGGUCAAAGAUUUAUCGGUCAGGGAUGGGCCUGCGUCUGAUUAACUAGUUGGUGAGGUAACGGCUCACCAAGGUGACGAUCAGUAGCCGACCUGAGAGGGUGAUCGGCCACAUUGGAACUGAGACACGGUCCAAACUUCUACGGAAGGCAGCAGUAGGGAAUCUUGCACAAUGGGCGAAAGCCUGAUGCAGCAACGCCGCGUGAAGGAUGAAGGCCUUCGGGUUGUAAACUUCUGUUCUAAGGGAAGAAACAAAA
rnacentral:rRNA from 1 species